rnacentral:misc_RNA from 1 species
UUAAUUUUGAACACUGCCCUUGCAUAUCAAGUUCUUUCCAUGCAUGGAGGAGUUCAGAAAUUGAUUCCUCAUCGCAAUGGCUCAAAGCAAAACCUAGUAGGUGCUUUCGAGAAUUAAUAUCCAUAUUCUCAAGGGAAGGACCUCUUGCUAGUGCAGCACACAAAUCCCAAACGGAACCAUGCCCUUUCUUUGUUAAACUAAGGCAGAGAUCAAAUGCCAAUUG